rnacentral:lncRNA from 1 species
AAAUGGCUGAGCAAUUAUUUAGGAAAUUGAAGGGAUAUUUAUACAAAAUUAUGAUUUCUCACUACUCCUAGUGUCCAUGCCAUAUGAUCAAAAGAACUCUGCUGUAAGACUAAACACUAAUGGCAGUAAUGGUUCUAUUGAAGUACUGAAGUUGAAAUACUCUAUUGUAAGACUAAACAUACAGCUUUACUAUGAAUCUAAUAUAAGUCUACCAUCCAUCCUAAAAGCUAAAGGAUUUCACCCCCUCUAAAAAAAAUAUCACUGAGCAUUGCUUUGCAUCAAACAGACCUGAUUUUGAAUUGUGCUUCUACCACUUACUAAUUGUAUGACCUUGGAGAAGUUUCUUAAUGUGUCAAGACAUAUGUAUUUCAUGUUUGCAUUUAAUGUAUAAUUAAAGCUCAUUCUUUUAACAACAAAUACUACUGUUAGUUUAUUUAUGUAGAAACUCAAGCUGAGAAGUUAAUUCCUUUUCUAAAGAUACAGCACAUGUAAAUACCUGAAUUGAAUUAUUAUUAUUAUUAUUAUUAUUAUUAUUAUUAUUAUUAUUAUUAUUAUUAUUAUUAUUAUUAUUUUAACCAGGUAUUCAACUCAGGGUCACUUGCCCACUGAGCCACAUCCCCAGCUCUAUUUUGUAUUUUCUUUAGAGGUUGGGUCUCACUGAGUUGCUUAGCACCUCACUUUCACUGAGGAUGUCUUUGAACUCACCAUCCUUGUGCCUGAGCCUCUUGAGCUGCUGAGAUUACAGUUAUGUGCCACCAUGUCUGGCAUUUAUUAUUUUUAAUUGACAAAUAAAAUUAUAUAUAAUUAUCAUGUACAACAUGUUUGAGAAUACGUACACACUGCAGAAUAGAUAAAUUGAGUUAAUUUACACAUGCAUUACUUUAUAUGCAUGUCACAUUUUGGUGGUGAGAAUGCUUAAAUGUACUUGUUUCAGAAAUUUUCAAGAAUAUGGAACAUUGUUUUUAAUUGUAGUCAACAUGUAUACAAUGAAUUUCUUAAUCUAAUUGAAUCAGAAUUUAAGCCCAAACCAUCCAGAUCUGAGGUUAUUAUCCUUUCUAUUAUGUAAUAAUACAUGAUCAAAGUACAGAGCACUUAGUAGACAUCUACUGGCUGCAGGCAUAGUAUCUUGUUUAAAGUUUGGUCUCUGAAGCCAAAGUGUCCGGGUUCAUUCUGGCACUCCCAGUUAUUGCCUGUGUGACCAUGGGAAAGAUAAUUACGUUUUCUGUGCCUCAGUUUCCUUCCCUGUAGAAUGGAGAUAAGUGUAGCCCUAUUCUGUAGGUUUAUUCUAAGUGCUGAAUUAAUAUAUGUAUAGUACUUAAAGAAAGUACUCAAUAAAAAUGAUCACUGCUUGAUGAAAAUGAUUUUUCUGACCUCUUCACCAAUAUGUAAUGUAAACAUACUGUAUCACUGUCUAUUUUAUGAAGAAGCAAAGUAUAUAAGCACUAAAAAUAAAUAAUUUAUGCGUUGUAGAGUUACUAGUAAGUAAUAAAUAUUUCUGAUAAUACAUAUUUAAGGCUGAAUUAUCAUUAAUCACUAUGAGACAAAUUAGGGGGUAUUUUUCAUUUUAUGUUUUUUAUUAUAACUCAUACAGGUGCAUUUUCAUGAAGUUUGGUAAAUACAGAAAUAGGGAAAACUAAUCAGAAUUUCAUUGUUUAACACAAUUGCUGCCAAAGUUUACUGCAUUUUACUAUUUAUUGC